UGGGGAAUUUUGGACAAUGGGCGAAAGCCUGAUCCAGCAAUGCCGCGUGUGUGAAGAAGGCCUUCGGGUUGUAAAGCACUUUUGUCCGGAAAGAAAUCCUUGGCUCUAAUACAGUCGGGGGAUGACGGUACCGGAAGAAUAAGCACCGGCUAACUACGUGCCAGCAGCGCGGUAAUACGUAGGGUGCAAGCGUUAAUCGGAAUUACUGGGCGUAAAGCGUGCGCAGGCGGUUUGCUAAGACCGAUGUGAAAUCCCCGGGCUCAACCUGGGAACUGCAUUGGUGACUGGCAGGCUAGAGUAUGGCAGAGGGGGGUAGAAUUCCACGUGUAGCAGUGAAAUGCGUAGAGAUGUGGAGGAAUACCGAUGGCGAAGGCAGCCCCCUGGGCCAAUACUGACGCUCAUGCACGAAAGCGUGGGGAGCAAACAGGAUUAGAUACCCUGGUAGUCCACGCCCUAAAACGAUGUCAACUAGUUGUUGGGGAUUCAUUUCCUUAGUAACGUAGCUAACGCGUGAAGUUGACCGCCUGGGGAGUACGGUCGCAAGAUUAAAACUCAAAUGAAUUGACGGGGUCAUAGCUGUUUCCU
rnacentral:rRNA from 1 species